AUCCCUUGCCAUGUCUCACUCGCCUCUUUAAAAAUAAGAUUGAUGACUGCUCUCCCAUUCCCUGUUUCCGACGUACUUGAAAGAUCUCUCACACAAUAAUAUGAGGUAAUAAAUGGAUUGUUAGCAAAAUAAGAUGGAACUUAUCCUUUAAUAGCCACACCAACGAACUUUUUCAGUAUUUUUAAGAACUCUAUCUUGGCCUUGCCUGAGAGAGGAAAUCUUGCAUUUAAUGAAUCUCCAGUUUGAAGUUGACACGUGUUGCUUCUUUUUCAUGGAGAUUCAUCAAAUUAUCCGGUUAUGUUAAUUUCUGCAUUUCGGUGCAGACAGCUUCAUUUGUAUCGCUGACCCAUCUCAUACGACAUACUUAAAUGAGCUAAUAACUUUUACUUGCUGUUCAUGUACUUGAAUUAACCAAAUCAAUUUAUUGAUUGAAAGGUCAAUUGCCUGCUUUGUGUUGAUGGAGCUAAAAUUGGUUUAGCGAUCCAUUGCCAUUUAAUAUACCUUGUGCUGUUAGGUGGAACUUUUUAUCCUUGCUGAGUAAUGCUUUUUAAAUUUAGCCCCCGUUUGAGCCACAUUAAAUAUAGUCAUUAUAGACUCCACAUAAGAGAUAAAAAAUCAAAUGUGGUGGCUUGAUGUAAUAAAUAACGGGCAUAUUUUCAUUUUAAUGAGGAAAUAAGAGGUCUCAAACAGGGCCUUAAUAAUCAAUUGAUGAUAAAGCACCCCAUGUACAAGAAUGUCCAAGAAAUUUAUGAUUUUGCUUGUUUUGAUUUGCUAUUUCCUGGGGAAAACUUUGUUUUCUUCAAUAUGAUUACGAGGCUGCAUAAACAAUCUUAAUUGCAUUGUUCCUUUCUUUCUGAAGCCGAUAGUUUGAGGGUUACAACUUACAAGGCACAAUUCCAAUUUUCAGCUCUUAGCUGCCAGUUUGGGUUAAGGGUGCGUGCACCUGUUGGGUGGGAAGAACGCUCUUACGUAACAGCCAAGUUACUAACCAUAUCUUUACCAAGUGUAAUGACCCCUCUACUGGCUGCUAAUUUAAUGGUGAAGAGAUGCAACGGGGUCCAUAUACUUGAUUUAACUGCGCUUUCAGCAUAUGCAGAUUUUACUACUAUUAGUCAUGUGGAUUUAGAAUUUGAGUUGGGAUCUAAAAUGGAAUAGUUCAGGAUUAAAAGAAAAUUGUCAUUAAGAGGAAAUUUACCUUUCUUCCCCUUCCCAUUAAAAAUUACAAAGAACUUGGCCCUGCAUUUUGAAAUUGAACACUUUCUUUCAAAUUUUAUUCAAUCAUAUAUCAAUUUAUUCAAAUAUGGAAUCUUGGAUCAACAAAGAGUUGUUCUUGAAGAUAAAUUUGUUGGUGCCUUGAAAGAACUGAUUAUGUGAACUGUAAUAGUUUGAAGCUUGCAAAUGAUAUAAAAUUAAAAUUGUUGCUUCUCAACUAACCGAACAUUUGAUAUUUACAAGCCCAAAUUUUAAUUUGAAUGGAAAAGAUAGUCAUUUUUUAAAUAUGAAGUAAUUAUGUGGUACAGCAACCAACUCAAUCGUGAAUGAGAUUGUCACAUUCCACGUACGCCCGAAUGGGCUAUUGGACGAUUUACUUCCAUCUAUUCUUUAUUUGGCAUCUUCUUGUG
rnacentral:lncRNA from 1 species